rnacentral:rRNA from 1 species
AGGCUUGACAUGUAUCGCUAAGCUGCCGAAAGCAGUGAGCCUUCGGGCGCUUUACACAGGUGCUGCAUGGCCGUCGUCAGCUCGUGUCGUGAGAUGUUCGGUUAAGUCCGGCAACGAGCGCAACCCCUAUGAAUAGUUACUAACACGUCAUGGUGAGGACUUUAUUCAGACUGCCCAGAUCAACUGGGAGGAAGGUGGGGAUGACGUCAGGUCAGUAUGGCCCUUACGCCUAGGGCUGCACACGUACUACAAUGCUCAGUACAAUGAGAACCGAUACCGCGAGGUGGAGGAAAUCUACAGAAACUGGGCUCAGUUCGGAUUGGAGGCUGCAACUCGCCUCCAUGAAGUUGGAAUCGCUAGUAAUGGCACAUCAGCUACGGUGCCGCGAAUACGUUCCCGGGUCUUGUACACACCGCCCGUCACAUCAUGGAAGCCGAUCGCACCCGAAGUACCUGCGUCAACAAUGGCAGGGUCCUAAGGUGUAGUUGGUAACUGGGAUGAAGUCGUAACAAGGUAACCGUA